UACGUAGGGUCCGAGCGUUGUCCGGAAUUAUUGGGCGUAAAGAGCUCGUAGGCGGUUUGUCGCGUCUGCUGUGAAAUCCCGAGGCUCAACCUCGGGUCUGCAGUGGGUACGGGCAGACUAGAGUGUGGUAGGGGAGACUGGAAUUCCUGGUGUAGCGGUGAAAUGCGCAGAUAUCAGGAGGAACACCGAUGGCGAAGGCAGGUCUCUGGGCCACUACUGACGCUGAGAAGCGAAAGCAUGGGGAGCGAACAGG
rnacentral:rRNA from 1 species